rnacentral:rRNA from 1 species
AACGAACGCUGGCGGCAUGCCUAACACAUGCAAGUCGAACGUGAAAGUACUUCGGUAUGAGUAAAGUGGCGCACGGGUGAGUAACACGUAGGCGACCUGCCUAUUAAUGGGGAAUAACCAGAAGAAAUUUUGGCUAAUACCGCAUACGAAGCACAAAUCUUAGAGUAGUGCUUGAAAGGAUGCCUCUGUAUAUGCAUUCGUUAAUAGAUGGGCCUGCGGUACAUUAGCUAGUUGGUGGGGUAAAGGCCUACCAAGGCAACGAUGUAUAUCCGGUCUGAGAGGAUGAUCGGACACACUGGAACUGAGACACGGUCCAGACUCCUACGGGAGGCAGCAGUGGGGAAUAUUGCGCAAUGGGGGAAACCCUGACGCAGCAAUGCCGCGUGAGUGAGGAAGGAUUUCGGUCUGUAAAGCUCUGUUAAUGUGGAAGAAUGAGACGUGGUCUAAUAGGCCAUGUAAGUGACGGUACACAUAGAGGAAGCACCGGCUAACUUCGUGCCAGCAGCCGCCGUAAUAC